rnacentral:ncRNA from 1 species
UAUAAGUUUGGUUCUGGCUUUAAUUAAGUCUGUACUGACAAAACACAUGAAAGUUGUAGCAGCAAUUCUAAAUGAACUUAAAGGGAAAGAUCAAAUAAUCAUGACCUUUCAUAAUUUCAGUGUAAAAUAUUGGGCCAUUUACGUCAGUAAGACCUAGUAAUCAGUAAUUAGGGCUGACCAAGUCCGUGCCAGCAGUAGCGGUUAAACGAGUAAACCCUAGACUUGACCUUCGGUAUAAAAGAUGGUUACAUUUUUAUUUGGGAAACAAAAGAUAUUUUUACAGUGAAAUGAUUAAAUUAUCUUCUACUACUUUCCCUAGCUAUAGAAACCAUGAAACUUUUAAGGAAAACUGGGAUUAGAGACCCCACUAUUCAAAAGCUUAAACAAAUAGCUACCAGGGUAUUACGAACUAUGUUUAAAACCCAAAGAACCUGGCGGCCUUUAACAGUACUAGGGGAACCUGUGUGGUAAUCGAUACUCCACGUUAAUCUUCACCUUUUCUUGAAAUUCUCAGCCUGUAUACCUCCGUCAUAACUCACCUUUAAGAGUUUACUAGUGAGUAAAAAGUGCUUCACCACUGUAUGGCAGGUCAAGGUGCAGCCUAUGAAAAGGGGCACCAUGGGUGACAAUUUGGUAAAAGAUAAUGAAUUUUCUUAGGAAAUUAAGAAAUGAAAAAGGACUUAGUAGUAAGGAAUUCUUUAAAAUAAAUUCCUGAAAAACUCCCUAGAAGGUGCACAAAUCGCCCGUCACUCUCAUCGAAAGACGAGAUAAGUCGUAACAAAGUAGGUGUACCGGAAGGUGUACCUGAA